rnacentral:rRNA from 1 species
UGAGCAAUCUGCCCUUCUCAUCGGAAUAAGCGUUGGAAACGACGUCUAAUGCCGAAUACGACCUCCUUUCGCAUGAUCGGAGGUGGAAAGCUCCGGCGGAGAAGGAUGAGCUCGCGGCCUAUCAGCUAGUUGGUGUGGGUAAUGGCCCACCAAGGCGACGACGGGUAGCCGGCCUGAGAGGAUGACCCGGCCACACUGGGACUGAGACACGGCCCAGACUCCUAGGGAG